AAAAAUUAGCAUCGGUAACGGUCGCUGCAUCGUCUGAGUUAUGCGGUUGUUUCUUGUUUUGCAUAUCGCAGAAUCGAUGCAGCAUACUGUGCUGUGUGCUUAUAUCACAU